rnacentral:rRNA from 1 species
GACGAACGUUGGCGGCGUGCUUAACACAUGCAAGUCGAACGGAAAGGCCCUGCUUUUGUGGGGUGCUCGAGUGGCGAACGGGUGAGUAGCACGUGAGUAACCUGCCCUUGACUUUGGGAUAACUUCAGGAAACUGGGGCUAAUACCGGAUAGGAGCUCCUGCUGCAUGGUGGGGGUUGGAAAGUUUCGGCGGUUGGGGAUGGACUCGCGGCUUAUCAGCUUGUUGGUGGGGUAGUGGCUUACCAAGGCUUUGACGGGUGGCCGGCCUGAGAGGGUGACCGGCCACAUUGGGACUGAGAUACGGCCCAGACUCCUACGGGAGGCAGCAGUGGGGAAUAUUGCACAAUGGGCGGAAGCCUGAUGCAGCAACGCCGCGUGCGGGAUGACGGCCUUCGGGUUGUAAACCGCUUUCGCCUGUGACGAAGCGUGAGUGACGGUAAUGGGUAAAGAAGCACCGGCUAACUACGUGCCAGCAGCCGCGGUGAUACGUAGGGCGCGAGCGUUGUCCGGAUUUAUUGGGCGUAAAGGGCUCGUAGGUGGUUGAUCGCGUCGGAAGUGUAAUCUUGGGGCUUAACCCUGAGCGUGCUUUCGAUACGGGUUGACUUGAGGAAGGUAGGGGAGAAUGGAACUCCUGGUGGAGCGGUGGAAUGCGCAGAUAUCAGGAGGAACACCAGUGGCGAAGGCGGUUCUCUGGGCCUUUCCUGACGCUGAGGAGCGAAAGCGUGGGGAGCGAACAGGCUUAGAUACCCUGGUAGUCCACGCUGUAAACGGUGGGUACUAGGUGUGGGGUCCAUUCCACGGGUUCCGUGCCGUAGCUAACGCUUUAAGUACCCCGCCUGGGGAGUACGGCCGCAAGGCUAAAACUCAAAGGAAUUGACGGGGCCCCGCACAAGCGGCGGAGCAUGCGGAUUAAUUCGAUGCAACGCGUAGAACCUUACCUGGGUUUGACAUGGAUCGGGAGUGCUCAGAGAUGGGUGUGCCUCUUUUGGGGUCGGUUCACAGGUGGUGCAUGCCUGUCGUCAGCUCGUGUCGUGAGAUGUUGGGUUAAGUCCCGCAACGAGCGCAACCCUUGUUCACUGUUGCCAGCACGUUAUGGUGGGGACUCAGUGGAGACCGCCGGGGUCAACUCGGAGGAAGGUGGGGAUGACGUCAAGUCAUCAUGCCCCUUAUGUCCAGGGCUUCACGCAUGCUACAAUGGCUGGUACAGAGAGUGGCGAGCCUGUGAGGGUGAGCGAAUCUCGGAAAGCCGGUCUCAGUUCGGAUUGGGGUCUGCAACUCGACCUCAUGAAGUCGGAGUCGCUAGUAAUCGCAGAUCAGCAACGCUGCGGUGAAUACGUUCCCGGG